rnacentral:sRNA from 1 species
GCUGGGCAUAGUGUGGCACCUGCAAUCUGGCUACUCUGGAGGCUGAGGCAGGAGGAUCGUUGAGCCCAGGAAUUCAAGGGCAGCCUGGGCAAUAUAGUGAGAACCCAUCUCAA